rnacentral:rRNA from 1 species
CAUAUGCUUGUCUCAAAGAUUAAGCCAUGCAUGUCUAAGAAUAAGCCCUUGAACGGCGAAUCUGCGAAUGGCUCAUUAAAUCAGUUAUUGUUUAUUUGAUGGUACCUUACUACUUGGAUAACCGUAGUAAUUCUAGAGCUAAUACAUGCGUCAAGGCCCAACUUCGUGGAAGGGCUGCAUUUAUCAGAUUCAAACCAUCGGUGGUCCUGUGGCAACAUGGGGUAGCCACCUUUGAUGGCGAGUCAUGAUAACUUAGCGAAUCAGAUGGCCUUUGUGCUGCUGAUGCUUCAUUCAAAUUUCUGCCCUAUCAGCUUUCGAUGGUAGGAUCUUGGCCUACCAUGGCUAUAACGGGUAACGGGGAAUUAGGGUUCGAUUCCGGAGAGGGAGCUUGAGUAACGGCUACCACAUCCAAGGAUGGCAGCAGGCGCGCAAAUUACCCAAUCCCGACACGGGGAGGUAGUGACAAGAAAUAGCGAUGCUGGGUCUAUAUAGGUCCGGCAAUUGAAAUGAGAGUGAAUUAAAUCUCCACUCGAGGAACCAUUGGAGGGCAAGUCUGGUGCCAGCAGCCGCGGUAAUUCCAGCUCCAAUAGCGUAUAUUAAAGUUGUUGCAGUUAAAAAGCUCGUAGUCUGAGUCUGGGUCGGGCGUUUUGUCCGCGUCUCGGAUUGCUUUCGGAUUGUAGGUCGUGUGAGUUAGCUAUCAUGGUUGAUUUGCAUUGGCUUAUGGCCGGGGGCAUUAGUUCGUGCAUGUGGCGCGCUGACCAGUUCUUCGGAGGAAUACAUGUGCUUUUCAUUAAGUGCGUGUGGGAUUCCGAUAGUUUACUUUGAGAAAAAUAGAGUGUUCAAAGCAGGCGUUGUUUUGCCUUGAAUACAUUAGCAUGGGAUAAUGGAAUAGGACAUUGGUUUUCCUAUUUUGUUGGUUUACGGACCGAUGUAAUGAUUAAUAGGAACAGUUGGGGACAUUUCUAUUCCGCGGCUAGAGGUGAAAUUCUUGGAUUCGUGGAAGAGAAACUAGUGCGAAAGCAUUUGUCAAGGAUGUUUUCAUUGAUCAAGAACGAAAGUUAGGGGAGCAAAGACGAUCAGAUACCGUCGUAGUCUUAACUAUAAACGAUGCCGACUAGGGAUCGGUGGGUGUUAGCUUUAUGACUCCAUCGGCACCUCAUGGGAAACCAAAGUCUUUGGGUUCCGGGGGGAGUAUGGUCGCAAGGCUGAAACUUAAAGGAAUUGACGGAAGGGCACCACCAGGAGUGGAGCCUGCGGCUUGAUUUGACUCAACACGGGAAAACUCACCAGGUCCAGACAUGGUAAGGAUUGACAGAUUGAGAGCUCUUUCUUGAUUCCAUGAAAGGUGGCGCAUGGCCGUUCUUAGUUGGUGGAGUGAUUUGUCUGGUUAAUUCCGAUAACGAACGAGACCUUGACCUGCUAACUAGUCACGGGAAGCACUUUUUCUCACGAAAAAUGUUGCUUGCCGGUUGAUCUUCUUAGAGGGACAAUCUGUGAUUUCAGCAGAUGGAAGUGCGAGGCAAUAACAGGUCUGUGAUGCCCUUAGAUGUCCUGGGCUGCACGCGCGCUACACUGACGAACUCAGCGAGUUUAUCACCAUGGGCAGAGAUGUCUGGGUAAUCUUUUCAAAGUUCGUCGUGAUGGGGAUAGAUGAUUGUAAUUAUUCGUCUUCAACGAGGAAGUCCUAGUAAGUGUG